GACAGAGGGUGCAAACGUUGCUCGGAAUUACUGGGCGUAAAGGGCGUGUAGGCGGGCAGGUAAGUCGGGCGUGAAAUCCCUGGGCUCAACCCAGGAACUGCACUCGAAACUACCAGUCUUGAGUAUCGGAGAGGAAAGCGGAAUUCCUGGUGUAGAGGUGAAAUUCGUAGAUAUCAGGAGGAACACCAGUGGCGAAGGCGGCUUUCUGGACGGUAACUGACGCUGAGGCGCGAAAGCGUGGGGAGCAAACAGG
rnacentral:rRNA from 1 species